GAACCGUACAAACGUUAUUCGGAAUCACUGGGUUUAAAGGGUGCGCAGGCGGCUUGGCAAGUUGGGUGUGAAAUCCCUCGGCUCAACCGAGGAACUGCGCUCAAAACUGCCAAGCUAGAGGGAGAUAGAGGUGAGCGGAACUUAGGGUGGAGCGGUGAAAUGCGCUGAUAUCCUAAGGAACACCAGUGGCGAAAGCGGCUCACUGGAUCUCUUCUGACGCUCAGGCACGAAAGCUAGGGGUAGCGAACGGGAUUAGAUACCCCGGUAGUCCUAGCUGUAAACGAUGAGCACUGGGUUGAGGGCCCUCCAUAGCCUUCCGGCCGAAGCGAAAGUGUUAAGUGCUCCACCUGGGGAGUAUGGUCGCAAGGCUG
rnacentral:rRNA from 1 species